rnacentral:rRNA from 1 species
GACGAACGCUGGCGGCGUGCUUAACACAUGCAAGUCGAACGGAAAGGCCCUGCUUUUGUGGGGUGCUCGAGUGGCGAACGGGUGAGUAACACGUGAGUAACCUGCCCUUGACUUUGGGAUAACUUCAGGAAACUGGGGCUAAUACCGGAUAGGAGCUCCUGCUGCAUGGUGGGGGUUGGAAAGUUUCGGCGGUUGGGGAUGGACUCGCGGCUUAUCAGCUUGUUGGUGGGGUAGUGGCUUACCAAGGCUUUGACGGGUAGCCGGCCUGAGAGGGUGGCCGGCCACAUUGGGACUGAGAUACGGCCCAGACUCCUACGGGAGGCAGCAGUGGGGAAUAUUGCACAAUGGGCGGAAGCCUGAUGCAGCAACGCCGCGUGCGGGAUGACGGCCUUCGGGUUGUAAACCGCUUUCGCCUGUGACGAAGCGUGAGUGACGGUAAUGGGUAAAGAAGCACCGGCUAACUGCGUG